rnacentral:tRNA from 1 species
GCUGGUGUGUCGGAACCGGUAGACGAGACAGACUCAAAAUCUGUUGUGGGCAACUGCGUGUGGGUUCGAGUCCCACCACCAGCA